UAAGACGAAGGGGGCAAGCGUUGUUCGGAAUUACUGGGCGUAAAGGGCGCGUAGGCGGUCUUGUUAGUCAGGCGUGAAAGCCCUGGGCUUAACCUAGGAUGUGCGCUUGAUACUGCGAGGCUUGAGUGUGGGAGAGGUUGGUGGAAUUCCCAGUGUAGAGGUGAAAUUCGUAGAUAUUGGGAAGAACACCGGUGGCGAAGGCGGCCAACUGGACCACAACUGACGCUGAGGCGCGAAAGCGUGGGGAGCAAACAGGAUUAGAUACCCUGGUAGUCCACGCUGUAAACGAUGGGUGCUGGACGUUGGUGGGUUUACCUGCCGGUGUCGCAGCUAACGCGUUAAGCACCCCGCCUGGGGAGUACGGUCGCAAGAUUA
rnacentral:rRNA from 1 species